ACUGUCUGUGUUCAUUGAGGAAGGUUAAUUUCUUAAUCCUCCCACUGUUCUUUACAUCACGUAUUAGUUAAUAUGAUAUAGAUACUGCUGUUGCUGAAAUGUUUGAGAAUGGAUUUGAUGCCUGUGAUAUUGCAUAGGCAUUAUGCUUUCUCAGUCUUUAGAAUUUGGGCAUUCUAUUGCAUAAACUUUAUAGAAUCAUGCAAAUUUAAUUUUUGAAUGGAUUCAGAAGGUAGGAGAAACUGUUCAAUUCAGCAUGGAGUGAUGAAAUUGAACAUUUUAUUUUAGAAUGAGUUACUGAACUAAUGAGAACAGUGGUCAUUUUAGCGUAAUCAGGAUUUAUGAAUUAUGUACUUUAUUUCUCUUGCUGAUUUAAAUUCUUGAAUUGUAGACCC
rnacentral:misc_RNA from 1 species